AGAGUUUGAUCCUGGCUCAGGAUGAACGCUAGCGACAGGCUUAACACAUGCAAGUCGAGGGGCAUCAUGAGGUAGCAAUACCUUGAUGGCGACCGGCGCACGGGUGAGUAACGCGUAUGCAACCUGCCCGAUACCGGGGUAUAGCCCAUGGAAACGUGGAUUAACACCCCAUAGUACUUUUAUCCUGCAUGGGAUGUGAGUUAAAUGUUUAAGGUAUCGGAUGGGCAUGCGUCCUAUUAGUUAGUUGGCGGGGUAACAGCCCACCAAGACGAUGAUAGGUAGGGGUUCUGAGAGGAAGGUCCCCCACAUUGGAACUGAGACACGGUCCAAACUCCUACGGGAGGCAGCAGUGAGGAAUAUUGGUCAAUGGACGAGAGUCUGAACCAGCCAAGUCGCGUGAGGGAAGACUGCCCUAUGGGUUGUAAACCUCUUUUAUAAGGGAAGAAUAAGUUCUACGUGUAGAAUGAUGCCUGUACCUUAUGAAUAAGCAUCGGCUAACUCCGUGCCAGCAGCCGCGGUAAUACGGAGGAUGCGAGCGUUAUCCGGAUUUAUUGGGUUUAAAGGGUGCGUAGGCGGUUUAUUAAGUUAGUGGUUAAAUAUUUGAGCUAAACUCAAUUGUGCCAUUAAUACUGGUAAACUGGAGUACAGACGAGGUAGGCGGAAUAAGUUAAGUAGCGGUGAAAUGCAUAGAUAUAACUUAGAACUCCGAUAGCGAAGGCAGCUUACCAGACUGUAACUGACGCUGAUGCACGAGAGCGUGGGUAGCGAACAGGAUUAGAUACCCUGGUAGUCCACGCCGUAAACGAUGCUCACUGGUUCUGUGCGAUAUAUUGUACGGGAUUAAGCGAAAGUAUUAAGUGAGCCACCUGGGGAGUACGUCGGCAACGAUGAAACUCAAAGGAAUUGACGGGGGCCCGCACAAGCGGAGGAACAUGUGGUUUAAUUCGAUGAUACGCGAGGAACCUUACCUGGGUUUAAAUGGGAAAUGUCGUAUUUGGAAACAGAUAUUCUCUUCGGAGCGUUU
rnacentral:rRNA from 1 species